ACAUGAUUAACCUUUGUACUUUAUACUUUGCUAAAACAUUUAGGACUCGAGUGGGCGACUCCAAGAAUGGUGACCACAUUGCUGCCCUAAGCGAUGAACAGGGCAGGGCGUGUGGUAUUGCAGUUAACUAUGUGUCAUCUGGUCAUCAUAGUGAUUGGUAGAUUAAAACCGUAAGCCACCUCUGAAUUCAUAUCGAAGUCAUGCGAGCUGGUCUUUUCUGCUUGGAUCUCCAGGUUGUGGGAAAACACUAAUGACAAUUUAUUUUGAGAUUGCCAUAUUCUUUCUACCUAAUUUGUGUUCUGUAUAAACUGUACAAUGUUUCCUUUUCUGGAACUUUAGGGGCCUGAUCAAUUGAACAAGUAUAUUGGGGAGAGCGAAUCAGAAGUAAGGAAAAUAUGAACCCGUGCAAGCACUAACUCACCAUACAUCCUAUUUUUUUGAGGUAAAACUAAGUAGUUGUGGCCGCUUUGGAUGAGAGAACCCAAUUCCUGGUACAGUAAAAUGCCAACACAUAUAUGAUUGAUGUUAUGGCACUAUACUUGACUUUGGGGAUGACGAGAUCGACGGAAGCAACAGGAGCCCACGACUCAUGAGUUCAGCGGCGC